UAUAAAGGAGAAAAUGACUCCUAUUACUUAAAUAGUGUUUCAGAAAUGCCCCAGAGUAGAAACAAUGGUCCUUGCUGCACCCGGAUCCACUGUAACCCUCUUCUUUUGCACCCAGCAUCCUGGCCUGCCAGACGGCAGUUCUAGUAAGACGUACUAUGUAAUGAGGAACGUAACUCAAGGCCGGUCACACCAGAGACUUGUGGAAGGGCAGCCGCCAGGCAGGGGACACAGAGGCUCAGCAGAGGAAGACUCCAGUCAGGUGGCCAGCUCCGUCCUCUGCUAUCUCUACAAACGGGCUAGUUUCUUUAAGAUUUUUUUCCUUGAGUCCUAACGAAAAACGAGUUGGAACCAUGAUUGGGGGCGGGGGUGGGGGCUGCAGGGCAGAGUUUAUAGGCACUUGCAAUUUCUUAACGGCUCCCUCCUCACCCAUUCCUCUGCAUUUUUCUCUUUUAUUAACGUGGCAUCUUUCCCAGGACACUUUAUGGGACCGUGUGUUUUCACUUAUGCCCUGAUUAGGGUUGAUUGUGUCUCUCUCUAUGAAGAGCCCUCAGAUCUCGCUCAAGGCCUCCCCUGCACCCCCUGCAAGGGUGCAGGCCAUUCUUUCGCUCCAGGGCUCCUGGGCUAAUCUCUUAACCUGUCCCCAAGGGCUCCACUGGGUUUUCUACCACACAAGGCACUCUUCUGCCUUAGGGUCGCACUUCAUUUGGACCCCAAAUAAGACACCCCAGUUGGCUUACUCAACUCUGAAGUGAUUCCUGGCACUUGCCCCCAAAUUAAAUCUGCCCCAGAGGAUGAAGAGGAAGAUUUGCCACACUGAAGAUUUUCUUUUUCUUUUUCGAGACGGAGUUUCACUCUUGUUGCCCAGGCUGGAGUGCAAUGGCACAAUCUCGGCCCACUACAACCUCCACCUCCUGGGUUCAAGCGAUUCUCCUGCCUCAGCCUCCCUAGUAGCUGGGAUUACAGGCAUGUGCCACCACGCCUGGCUAUUUUGUAUUUUUAGUAGAGACGGGGUUUCUCCAUGUUGGUCAGACUGGUCUUGAACUCCCUACCUUAGGUUAUCCACCCGCCUUGGCCUCCCCAAGUGCUGGGAUUACAGGCGUGAGUCACGGCGCCUGGUCUGAAGAUUUUCAAAGGAAUGUGCUGUGAGCCCUGAAGGCCAUUGCCCAAGAGGAGGCUCUGAAAAUGUUUUGAGCAAUAGCAGCUCUGAUAGAACACAGCUUUCCAAGGGGCCCACUUUCAAAGGCACGGCACGCUUUUCAGAGAGUCAAGCUUUGGCGUGUUUAUUAAAAAAGACACCCAUGCUGCUUUCAGGAACGCUGAGCUCUUAGCUCUUCUUUUCUCUUUAACUCAAUUCCAAGAGGGGCUGGGACCGAGGUUUGGCGCUUACUUGCUCUCCUUCAGCCCCAUUUUAGAAAUGUUUCCACCUACCCGUCUCCUGUUAUCUGGGAGAUUGCUCUGUUUCACUCAGACAUGAAGCAGCAGGCUUGGUGGCAGCCCUGUGAUCUUUGAAAGCAUACCCUCUGGGAGUAGCAGUUUCUUCUUCUGUAGAAUGGGGAAAGUAAUACAUAUUCUGCAAGGCUGUGAGAAUGAAUUGGAGCGAUGUCUGCAAGAGGCCUGGCAUGCUAAAGGCCUUCAGUAAAUGGCCUUCUCCUACUGCAACCCUUUCCUUCUGGAAUGUCUGUGGACAACACAACAUCAAACUCCCCAUUCCUGGCUCCAGGGCAAGAAUCUCUGAGUCCUUUGGGAAGUGCAGUGCUAGGAUCAUUUUCCUGUUGUCAGCGGCUCUGGAAGAGGCAUUAGCCCCACAAGGCUUGAUGUGGGAAGUUUUUACAGCCCCGACCUCUGCCAUCCCCCAACACAUAGACACACACAGUGUUAUUUCCAGGGAAGAGGAGGAUAGUCCUGGUCAAUAGCAGUGGACACACUGGAGGUUUCCCCUCAAGGUAAGAGUGUCAUUCAUUU